UGCAGAGGUGGUCACGGAGGAGACCUGAGAGGGCGGGGCGGGGGGGGGUUCAGGAAGGAGUGCCUGGGAAGGCUUCUCAAAAGAGGGGUCUAUCGGAGCGGGCCCUGACCAAGUUCCCCUGGAGAGCCAAGUGGGCAAGGCAAUGCUGGCAGAGCAAUCUGCACGUACCAAGGACGGGCAGAGGGAAGCUCUGAGUGGGCACCGAGAAUUUGGGGAUGUCUGAGUGCAGGGGGCCAGGAGAGAUGUUGGAGGAUAUCAGGGCCCAGAUAGCUAAGGGGCUAGAACACCGGGCGCCGCGGGCUCCAGGUUCACAGAUGUGGAGACUGAGGCUCAGAGACGUCAGAUCACCUGCUGGAGGUAAUGCAACAAGAAAGGAACAAUGCCAGAAUUUGAACCCAGUUCCAUGUGACUCAGGAGCCCAGGCUCUCCUCUGGAAACCUCUCAGUGAGCGUCUCCUGGUGUCUCUCUGACUUUUUGAAAAUGGUUCCUGGGGUCACCACAAGUGGAAUGGUCGCUCUUGGAAGUGGGAUAAAGGGCAGGAGGCUGAGUGUUCCCUUGUAACCGUAUACACAGUUCUGUGUGCAUGUCUACAACCUGCAUGCAUGCCCUCGACCUUGUUCAAGACUUGAGUCAAAAUCUAAAGAGUCAACCUUUUUUUAAAAGUUUCUUAUUGAAGUCAUCUCUACGCCCAAUGUGGGGCUUGAACUCAUGACCCCAAGAUCAAGAGUCGCAAGCUCAUCUGACUGAGCCAGCCAGCCAUCCCCAAAAACAUUUUUUAAAAGUCCUUCCUAAACUGGGAUCUGUCUCCCAGAAGCCUCGCAGCAGCCCAGCUCUGCCCUGGGGGUUUGCCCAGGACCCGUGGCUGCAUGAGGACUCUCCCUCUCCGCCUCCCCCUCCCAACCCAGAAGAUGGAAUCCCCAGUGACCUCUGCAGCGUGGCUCCAUGGCUCGAGGGAUUGCACACAUGCUGCAGGGCUGGGGCUCCAGGACUGGGGGCAGCAGACCGGAUUCCAGCACUGCCAGCUGUGUUCUCCUGGAGCUUCCUUUCGGCUGUGAACUGCCUCCUUCCUAGAGCUGCUGUGAGGAGCCUGCAAGACACUGAAGGCUGGUGCACAGGAAGGAGGCUGCCCUGUGACACUGCUCGGCUCGGGGGCGCACACUCAUACAGCCUGGAGGGUAGGUGCUCCCAGGGAGAGGGAAGGUGACAUCCUAGCUCAAGGCUUCUGCUGGCACCCGCUAUUGUCCCCAUUUUAUAGAUGAAGAAGUGGAGGCACAAAGCGUUGGAGUUCCCUGCCUGAGACGGUGCAUGGGAUUAGAGCCAGAUCCAAGAUGGGACCGACUCUGUCCGGAGCUCUCUCCAGUGGGCCAGGAUGCCCUGGAGAGAUGUGGGCUUCCCAGAAGGUUCCAAGGGACCCAGAGUCCCACAGCCCAACCCCAGGGAGUUGCCAUAUCCUAGGAAUUAGUGCAAGGAUGCUGUAUGGGGACCUGCAAGUAUGCACGUGCCCUGGGAAUCCCUGGGAUGGACAGCCACAGCUACAAGCCCACAGACACGUGCAUACUCACACACACGCUUGCACAUGCAUACACGCCCAAUGCACAUGUGUGCACACCCACGCCCCCUUGUGAGCCCACAUGCACACCCUUGCACAUGGAGGCCCAGGCAGGCGCAUGCACAAAGUGCCCACUGACCGAGGAACAGAUCCGGACGUGAUCGUACCUCACAUCACCCACUCCCAGAGCCACCCUGGUGCCCUCAGGCAUAAGGAGGGGCUUGGCGAAAUGAGGGACUUCCGCUUUAUAAUACCCACUGCUAC